UACGGAGGGUGCAAGCGUUGUCCGGAUUUAUUGGGUUUAAAGGGUGCGUAGGCGGCCCUGUAAGUCAGUGGUGAAAGCCCAUAGCUCAACUAUGGAACUGCCAUUGAUACUGCAGGGCUUGAGUACAGACGAGGUUGGCGGAAUUGAUAGUGUAGCGGUGAAAUGCAUAGAUACUAUCAAGAACACCGAUUGCGUAGGCAGCUAACUAGGCUGUAACUGACGCUGAGGCACGAAAGCGUGGGGAGCGAACAGG
rnacentral:rRNA from 1 species